GACGAACGCUGGCGGCGUGCUUAACACAUGCAAGUCGAACGGAAAGGCCUGCUUUCCCUUGUGGAUUGCGGGUACUCGAGUGGCGAACGGGUGAGUAACACGUGAGUGAUCUGCCCCCAACUUGGGUAUAAGCCUGGGAAACUGGGUCUAAUUCCCGAUAGGACUGCAGGGUGGUGCCUGUGGUGGAAAACGAUUUUCUAGUGGUUGGGGAUGAGCUCGCGGCCUAUCAGCUUGUUGGUGGGGUAAUGGCCUACCAAGGCGGCGACGGGUAGCCGGCCUGAGAGGGUGGACGGCCACAGUGGGACUGAGAUACGGCCCAAACUCCUACGGGAGGCAGCAGUGGGGAAUAUUGCACAAUGGGCGGAAGCCUGAUGCAGCGACGCCGCGUGGGGGAUGACGGCCUUCGGGUUGUAAACUCCUUUCGACCGCGAGGAAGCCACCUGGUUGGAAGGGUGGUGACGGUAGUGGUAGAAGAAGCACCGGCUAACUACGUG
rnacentral:rRNA from 1 species